UUAAGUGGACAACUUGCGAGCCUCCGCCUGUCAUCCUCAAGCCGAUUGUUUGUUGUCAAAAUGGAGUUCUUACUGGGUAAUCCAUACAGCACUCCAGUGGGUCAAUGCAUAGAGAGGGCUACUGACGGAGGCCUACCGCAUGAAGACUGGGCCCUCAACAUGGAGAUCUGUGACAUCAUUAACGAGACAGAUGAGGGGCCAAAAGAUGCCAUACGAGCCCUGAAGAAACGACUUAGUGGCAACAAGAAUUACCGAGAAGUCAUGCUGGCCCUAACGGUCGUGGAGACGUGUGUGAAGAACUGCGGCCAUAGGUUUCACGCUCAGGUGGCGAAUAGAGAUUUUAUCGAUGGCGUUUUGGUCAAAAUCAUCUCGCCCAAAACAAAUCCUCCAACCAUCGUGCAGGACAAAGUGCUGUCGCUCAUACAGGCCUGGGCUGAUGCAUUCCGGAGUAGUCCUGAUCUUACCGGGGUGGUCCACAUCUAUGAAGAACUGAAAAGAAAGGGCAUUGAGUUCCCCAUGGCAGAUCUGGAUGCAUUGUCCCCCAUCCACACACCACAGCGGGGCACCCCAGAGGUGGACCCGGGCAUGAUCAAGUACCUCGCUCCUGCAGCCACCCCCACCAUCACCACCACCACCACCACCUCUGCUUCUUCAUCUCCUAAACCUGCCACAAACUCAUCUGCCACUCACAUCUCUCCACAUGGUGCCAUCACAGCUACCCCUGAACAGAUCACCAGGUUACGUAGCGAGUUGGACAUAGUGAGAGGGAACAUUAAAGUCUUGUCAGAGAUGCUCACAGAGAUGGUUCCCGGCCAGGAGGAUUCCUCCGAUCUAGAAUUGCUCCAGGAGCUGCACCGGACAUGCAGAGCUAUGCAGCAGAGAGUCGUGGAACUCAUCUCCCGUGUGUCUAACGAGGAAGUGACCGAGGAGCUUCUGCACAUCAAUGACGACCUCAACAACAUAUUCCUCCGCUACGAGAGGUACGAGAGAUUCAGGUCGGGAAGGGGAGCUCAGAACAAAGGGAUGUUGACUGAGGCCACAGAUGACAACCUGAUAGACCUUGGUCCAGGCUCCCCUGCUGUGGUCUCACCCAAAAUCACGUCUCGUUCGCCCCCUCACAGUACUGCAGGGGGGGCCACUGCCUCCCCAGCCCAUCGCCCCGGUGCAGCCGCACUCUCCUCUGCAAUGGCAGGCCUCGAUGUGGGCUCAGCCAGUCUACCAAGCCACAAACAAGACGACUUUGACAUGUUUGCCCAGACUAGGAGCAGCUCUCUGGCUGAGCAGCGUAAGAAUGUCAAAUAUGAGGACCCUCAGGCUUUGGGCGGUCUGGCCUCGGCUCUGGACGUCAGACAGCAAAACACAGGAGGGAUCCCUGUAUCGCAGUCCUCUGUCAUGGAUGACAUAGAGGAGUGGCUCUGUGCUGACGUGAAAGGUGAUGCUGCAGAUGAAGGUGUAACCAGUGAAGAGUUCGACAAGUUCCUCGAAGAGCGAGCAAAGGCGGGAGACUCACCACCUCCCGGGGCUAGUCCCGCUCAUCCUGCCCACGCCCCCGUGGGAUCUCAGAAGAGGGCGGAACGGACAGAAGAUGCCCUCUUUGCCUUGUAGUCUCUUGAGCGUCUCAAUCACUCUCUUAGGAGGGGUCUUCUGAAGGUCCUCAACCUGAAUGAUUCCUCCUAAAAACGGUUGUAUUUCAUCAACUAAACAGAGGUCCACAGGUCGUAAGACCCAAAAAUUCCAUCCCGUUUGAAGUCCAGCCCCCUUUUUUUAUUUUGGACCCUCCCCGACCACCUGGCCACCGCUGUUUCCAAAGGACAAAGGUCGUAAACAAUUCACAGAAAAGAUCAGUUCAAAAAGAAUUCCAUAAAAUACUUCAAAAAGAGUUCGUAAAAUACUUCAAAAAGAGGUCGUCUGGAAAUUGGGCAGAUCCUGCCAUAUGUCCGCUUUGAAGUCCUUGAAUUAGAACAAUAUCUUUCUGUUGAUUACCAUACAUGAGAGAAAACAGAAAACCCUUCAUGUGGCUUUCCCCUUUACACAGUGAAGCCUUCUUUUUGGUAGGUUUCAAAGACAGCUUUUGUCUUCUUGCUAGGAACUCAUUUCAACACAAAGUAUUUUGUGAUAACUUACAAUUAUUCUAACAAUGUGUACAUGUCAUUAUUUAAUGUUAUGAUGACUGAUUUCAAACAGAGCACAUCCGACUGAAAAGAAUGUCUUGGAUAUUCCUCAGACCCAAAAAUUCCAUCCCGUUUGAAGUCCAGCCCCUUUUUUUUAUUUUGGACCCUCCCCGACCACCUGGCCACCGCUGUUUCCAAAGGACAAAGGUCGUAAACAAUUCACAGAAAAGAUCAGUUCAAAAAGAAUUCCAUAAAAUACUUCAAAAAGAGUUCGUAAAAUACUUCAAAAAGAGGUCCAUAAAAUAGUUCAAAAAGAGGUCGUCUGGAAAUUGGGCAGAUCCUGCCAUCUGUCCGCUUUGAAGUCCUUGGGUUAGAACAAUAUCUUUCUGUUGAUUACCAUACAUGAGAGAAAACAGAAAACCCUUCAUGUGGCUUUCCCCCUUACACAGUGGAGUUUUACAAGCCUUCUUCUUGGUAGGUUUCAAAGACAGCUUUUGGUCUUCUUGCUCGGAACUCAUUUCAACACAAAGUAUUUUGUGAUAACUUACAAUUAUUCUAACAAUGUGUACAUGUCAUUAUUUAAUGUUAUGAUGACUGAUUUCAAACAGAGCACAUCCGACUGAAAAGAAUGUCUUGGAUAUUCUUCAGACCCAAAAAUUCCAUCCCGUUUGAAGUCCGGCCCCUUUUUUUUUAUUUUGGACCCUCCCCGACCACCUGGCCACCGCUGUUUCCAAAGGACAAAGGUCGUAAACAAUUCACAGAAAAGAUCAGUUCAAAAAGAAUUCCAUAAAAUACUUCAAAAAGAGUUCGUAAAAUACUUCAAAAAGAGGUCCAUAAAAUAGUUCAAAAAGAGGUCGUCUGGAAAUUGGGCAGAUCCUGCCAUCUGUGCACUUUGAAGUCCUUGAAUUAGAACAAUAUCUUUCUGUUGAUUACCAUACAUGAGAGAAAACAGAAACCCCUUCAUGUGGCUUUCCCCCUUACACAGUGGAGCCUUCUUCUUGGUAGGUUUCAAAGACAGCUUUUGGUCUUCUUGCUAGGAACUCAUUUCAACACAAAGUAUUUUGUGAUAACUUACAAUUAUUCUAACAAUGUGUACAUGUCAUUAUUUAAUGUUAUGAUGACUGAUUUCAAACAGAGCACAUCCGACUGAAAAGAAUGUCUUGGAUAUUUCCUCAGACCCAAAAAUUCCAUCCCGUUUGAAGUCCAGCCCUUUCGACCCUCUCUGGUUUGUUCUGAUUUUGCUUUUCAUUUUGCAGCUUGAGACCAAAACGUGUAAAAACAAUAAUUUGCCUACCUACAGUCAUUAGUAUCAGUAGAUGUAUUCAACUAAUGAAUUUUCAUUGAGCUUUAACUUGAGAGCAACGUAUAAUAUUAACAAUCAUGUUACUAUACAGGCUAAAGAAAAACUAAACGGCAACUUCUGUUGUCUUAAUGUACGGCAUUUCUGGACCUUGUAUUAACAGGUAUGUGUUGAUCGCAGCAUGGAGUUCCUUCCGUCAGUAAAUAUGCUUGAAAACAGACAAAGCAGAACAUUACAAAGUGUUCAUGUUUGUGGACGUUCCGUUUCUGUUUGCUGCCAUUGCUGAUUGUCAGGUCUUUGUGACUUUAUGCACCUACAGUAUGUAUAACUGCCCAAUUAAAACACUAGCAAUGUGAGACCUCUA